rnacentral:rRNA from 2 species
UAAGCAUAUCAAUAAGCGGAGGAAAAGAAACUAACAAGGAUUCCCCUAGUAACUGCGAGUGAAGCGGGAAAAGCUCAAAUUUAAAAUCUGGCGGUCUUUGGCUGUCCGAGUUGUAAUCUAGAGAAGUGUUAUCCGCGUUGGACCGUGUACAAGUCUCCUGGAAUGGAGCGUCAUAGAGGGUGAGAAUCCCGUCUUUGACACGGACUGCCAGGGCUUUGUGAUGCGCUCUCAAAGAGUCGAGUUGUUUGGGAAUGCAGCUCAAAAUGGGUGGUAAAUUCCAUCUAAAGCUAAAUAUUGGCGAGAGACCGAUAGCGAACAAGUACCGUGAGGGAAAGAUGAAAAGAACUUUGGAAAGAGAGUUAAACAGUACGUGAAAUUGCUGAAAGGGAAACGCUUGAAGUCAGUCACGUUGUCCAGGGAUCAACCUUGCUUUUGCUUGGUGUACUUUCUGGUUGACGGGUCAGCAUCAAUUUUGACCAUUGGAAAAAGGUCAGGGGAAUGUGGCAUCUUUAGAUGUGUUAUAGCCCUUGGUUGCAUACAAUGGUUGGGAUUGAGGAACUCAGCACGCCGCAAGGCCGGGUUUUUAACCACGUACGUGCUUAGGAUGCUGGCAUAAUGGCUUUAAUCGACCCGUCUUGAAACACGGACCAAGGAGUCUAACAUGCCUGCGAGUGUUUGGGUGGAAAACCCGAGCGCGCAAUGAAAGUGAAAGUUGAGAUCCCUGUCGUGGGGAGCAUCGACGCCCGGACCAGACCUUUUGUGACGGUUCCGCGGUAGAGCAUGUAUGUUGGGACCCGAAAGAUGGUGAACUAUGCCUGAAUAGGGUGAAGCCAGAGGAAACUCUGGUGGAGGCUCGUAGCGAUUCUGACGUGCAAAUCGAUCGUCAAAUUUGGGUAUAGGGGCGAAAGACUAAUCGAACCAUCUAGUAAGCUGGUUCCUGC